CAAUUAUAGAUAAAUGAGAAAUCGAAUGCUGCAUUUGUUUGAAGUGGUGAUAUAAAUUGUGAAAUGUUGUGAUACCAAAGCUGGAUUAUUAAGGGAUAUAUUUAUAAAAUUGGUAACAGCAUUGUGCCUCAAAAUGAAAGAAUUAGCCUUUUGCUUGGACUUAAAGCUAGUGGUUUUGUUUAUGAUGGCUUUUGAAGCUAUACAUGCAUGCUGUCAUUACUAUCCUGUAUAUUAUCCAGUGCAUGUUGGAGGUGGGAAAAAACAUAUACAUAUACAUAUGAAAAAUAAUCAUCACCACCAUCAUCAUCACGGUCACGAACACGGACAUCAUCAUCAUCAUGGACACCACCACGGACAUCACCACCAACAUGGACAUCAUCACG